UCCCGGGGCCCGCCCAGGCCAAGGGACAGGGACAGGGACAGGAGUUAGGCCUCAGCUCGGCGCCCCGGGGGAGCGCCUGGUACGGCCCCUGUGGGGUGGAGACGUCCUCGGGGUGCCUGGGCCCUUCCUGCCCGUGAGCGCCAGCCAGUGUCCUUGUGGCGCCUUCGGGGGCGACCCCCCCCCCUUUCUCGAGUAUCCCCACCGCCCCAACCCCCCCACUCAGCAAGAAGCCGCCAGGCGUCCGUCACCUCCCGUGCCUGUGGCCCUGCCGUCAAGGGAUCGGGUCCACGGGUAGCUUCUAGCCCGUUUUUAAGUGAAAUAAUCCUGUUUCGAGAACCAGACACCACCCCGGGGCGGAGGCGCAGAGCCCGGGACAGUCUCCGGGUUCUUGGCGCACUUGGGGCUCCCGCCGGCCCAGUAACUCCUAUUGAGGAAGUGAGUGAGAUCGGGGAUCUGAAGCGCUGUAAAUUUCGGAGCCGAGCAGUCUAAUGACAGUGUUAGCAAGAAACGGAGGUAAUUGCGCCCACGCACCCACUACCCCGCUACAAAUGCCAUUCAGUUGCCACUUUGCACCACUGGAUUUUUUUUUAAAGGUCUAGGGGAUGAGUCUUGCGGGAAACGAUGGCUACAAUGAGGCAAGCAAAGCGCUGUGAGCCUUAAUAAGGCCCUGCGAUUUCCUCCCCCAGAUCUACCUUUGCAGGAGUGGCCAGCGCCUUAUUAUACCGCAGGGCGGCCCCCAGCAUUUUCAGGGUGCGAGGCCCAUCUCGGUUUUCUGUCCUGGGAAAAAAUCUGGACCGUCGGGUUCUGACUUGUCCAAGGCAUUGAACGCCCAGCUUCUGUCCGCGAAGUUGUUUUGGUGUGUGCGCGCCCUGGCUCUUGAGAGCAUUAGUGAGCAUUCUCACUGCUUAUUACUGGUACAAAUUGCUGUACAAAAUGAUGUCCUCCGAAUUUAGUAAAAUUUGUAAAAAUCUAAAUUUAGAUGUGAAUGAAGGAAGGAAGGAAUCUUUGUGGCCAUCAUAGGUACCACGUAAUAGUUUUCUGUUGAAAUGUGAGGCUUGUGGUCGACAUGUUUUCCUCAGUUGUGAAAUACUGUUACUGGCUUUUUAAUGGUUUGAAACCAAAUGGGAGAUAGAAAUUACCACUCUUUUAAAGAGGAAAAAAAUGUGCUGAUGCAGCCUGUAUUCUAAGCACCUUUUUUUCAGCUAAAUACCUGGGCCCAAAACACAAUUUCCCCUGCCCUGAAUACCUUGAUCUCUGGAGAAUAUCCCUACACCACAGGGGAAUGCAGUGGCUUUUGGGGACCAUUGCUUUAGGUGUUGGGGAUUCCUGUGGAUCCAAAUUGUUUUAACUAUUCAGUUUGACCUGUGAGAGACACCAUGUCUGGGAAGCAGCCUCUGCUAGUGUCUAUUUAAGGAUUGUGGAAACUGAACAAGAGCCCAGGUCUAGAAACUUCUCAGCCAGUUGAACUCAGACCCAGAGUAAACAAGUUUGGAGCUUCCUUUGGUUUUUAAAUCUAUGAAAGUUUUGUUUCCAUUUUUCCUAGGUAAAUACUGUUGCCGAUAAUGUUUCUUCUCUAAAAUUGAUACUAUUCCAGCCUAAUGUAACGGAGGUUCAGUGGAGUUCAAGAUGCUGAUGAAUUUAAGGUUUGGUGCUUCAAAGAAGCUGCUUUUCAAGUGGAUAAGGAGUAUUUGAGUAUGUGACCAUUGAUAUAUACAGAAUAGAGGUUUUUCCCUUUUUUUGGUCCCUUUCAGGUUGGUAGCAAGGGUGAAUUUUGAGAUAGUCCCAAUUAUCUAUAGGAAUAUUUAUCUGAGAAUUCUGUGCCUCUGCCCUGUAGCUGAGUUGGCCCCAUAGAGAAUUUCUAUAGAAUUGAAUUCCAUCAUUUAAAGUAGUUUUUCUACUAGCCCUGGUCUGAAACUUGAUACAGUGCUGACACCAAAGAGCAAGUCCUUAAUCCUGGUUCAUAUACUCUACAAAGAUAUGACUAAGUCUAGUUCUGCAAGUAGGUCAGUUUUAGAACAUACUAAUUCUAACUAGAUGAUCUAUUUUACAACUAAGACUACUUUAUGAACUGUGCUUUAACUUAGAAAAGUCAUUUUUAAUCACAUUCUUUUGAUUAUUCUGAAAAUAUGUUUUAUAGGAUACUCAUAAAUAUUAUUGUUGAGGAAAAUAUUUGGCAAUG